rnacentral:rRNA from 1 species
CACGUAGGGCGCAAGCGUUGUCCGGAAUUAUUGGGCGUAAAGAGCUCGUAGGCGGUCUGUUGCGUCCGCUGUGAAAACUCGGGGCUUAACCCCGAGCCUGCAGUGGAUACGGGCAGACUAGAGGUAGGUAGGGGAGAAUGGAAUUCCCGGUGUAGCGGUGAAAUGCGCAGAUAUCGGGAGGAACACCGGUGGCGAAGGCGGUUCUCUGGACAGUUCCUGACGCUGAGGGACGAAAGCUAGGGGAGCAAACGGG